UACAGAGGGGGCUAGCGUUGUUCGGAAUUACUGGGCGUAAAGGGCGCGUAGGUGGCCUGUUAAGUCGAACGUGAAAUCCCCGGGCUCAACCCGGGAACUGCGUCCGAGACUGGCAGGCUCGAAUCCGGGAGAGGGAUGUAGAAUUCCAGGUGUAGCGGUGAAAUGCGUAGAUAUCUGGAGGAAUACCGGUGGCGAAGGCGGCAUCCUGGACCAUUACUGACGCUGAGGCGCGAAAGCUAGGGGAGCAAACGGG
rnacentral:rRNA from 1 species